UACGUAGGGUGCGAGCGUUAAUCGGAAUUACUGGGCGUAAAGCGUGCGCAGGCGGUUUUGUAAGUCUGACGUGAAAUCCCCGGGCUUAACCUGGGAAUUGCGUUGGAGACUGCAAGGCUGGAGUCUGGCAGAGGGGGGUAGAAUUCCACGUGUAGCAGUGAAAUGCGUAGAGAUGUGAAGGAACACCGAUGGCGAAGGCAGCCCCCUGGGUCAAGACUGACGCUCAUGCACGAAAGCGUGGGGAGCAAACAGG
rnacentral:rRNA from 1 species